AGGUGUCGCCUGCCCAGUGAUCUUAUUUUUAACGGCCGCGGUAUCCUAACCGUGCAAAGGUAGCGUAAUCAUUUGUCUCCUAAAUAGGGACUCGUAUGAACGGCUAACUGAGGGCCUAACUGUCUCCUGAGGCUAAUCAAUGAAACUGAUCUUUCAGUACAAAAGCUGAAAUAAACACAUAAGACGAGAAGACCCUGUGGAGCUUUAAAUCCACACUAUAAACCACCCCCAUCCCCAAGGAGAAGUAUUCAUCAAAAACUAUAGUUAAAAUUUUUAGUUGGGGCGACUUUGGAACAAAACAAAACUUCCAUGCCAGGGAUCCCACCCCUAUCAAGGCUAACACGCCAAAACAUUAUUUUUUGAUCCAGCACAACUGAUCAACGAACCAAGUUACCCCAGGGAUAACAGCGCCAUCCUCUUCAAGAGUCCAUAUCGACAAGAGGGUUUACGACCUCGAUGUUGGAUCAGGACACCCCGGUGGUGCAACCGCUACCAAAGGUUCGUUUGUUCAACGAUUAACAGUCCUACGUGAUCUGAGUCA
rnacentral:rRNA from 1 species